UACAGAGGUCUCAAGCGUUGUUCGGAUUCAUUGGGCGUAAAGGGUGCGUAGGUGGCGCGUUAAGUCAGGUGUGAAAUUUCGGAGCUUAACUCCGAAACUGCAUUUGAUACUGGCGUGCUUGAGGACUGGAGAGGAGACUGGAAUUCAUGGUGUAGCAGUGAAAUGCGUAGAUAUGCGGAGGAACACCGAUGGCGAAGGCAAUCCCCUGGGCCUGCACUGACGCUCAUGCACGAAAGCGUGGGGAGCAAACAGG
rnacentral:rRNA from 1 species